rnacentral:misc_RNA from 1 species
GAUGAAGAACGUAGUGAAAUGCGAUAAGUAGUGUGAAUUGCAGAAUUCAGUGAAUCAUCGAAUCUUUGAACGCACAUUGCGCCCCUUGGUAUUCCAUGGGGCAUGCCUGUUCGAGCGUCAUUUGUACCUUCAAGCUCUGCUUGGUGUUGGGUGUUUGUCUCGCCUCUGCGUGUAGACUCGCCUCAAAACAAUUGGCAGCCGGCGUAUUGAUUUCGGAGCGCAGUACAUCUCGCGCUUUGCACUCAUAACGACGACGUCCAAAAGUACAUUUUUACACUCUUGACCUCGGAUCAGGUAGGGAUACCCGCUGAACUUAAGCAUAUCAAUAAGCAGAGGA